rnacentral:tRNA from 1 species
AGGAUAUUAAGUUAUUUAAACUAUUACUUUUCAAAAGUAAAAAAGGUAUUUUUUGCCAUAUUUUG